rnacentral:rRNA from 1 species
UAUAAAUAUAAAAUUAUAAUAUGUUAAACAAUUAAUAGUUAUGGUCUUUAAAAUUAAAGAAUUUGGCGGUAUUUUAGUCUAUUCAGAGGAAUCUGUUCUGUAAUUGAUAAUCCACGAUUUAAUUUACUUAUAAUAAUUAGUUUGUAUAUCGUCGUAUUAGAAUAUUUUCUUAGGAUUUUAAUAUUCGAAGGUUUACUUAAAAAGUAAUUCAGAUCAAGGUGCAGUUUAUUUAUAAGAAGAAAUGGAUUACAUUAAAUUAUAUUUUUUGGAUAAAUUUAAAAAUUUAUUUUUUGAAAUUGGAUUUGAAAGUAAUUUUAAUAAAAAUAUUAAAAUGAUUAAAGCUCUAAAAUAUGC